AAGUCGUAACAAGGUUUCCGUAGGUGAACCUGCGGAAGGAUCAUUACAAAUCUUUUUAAAGUCCUAAAAAUAUAUUUUUUUUUUUGGGACUUUAUAUGUCCGAGGCAGCAAUGCUUCGUUACAUUUACGCUUGUAUGUUUGACAGAGUUAGUGUGAUUUUUUAAUAUAUACAACUUUUAACAAUGGAUCUCUUGGCUCUU
rnacentral:misc_RNA from 1 species